CCUACGGGAGGCAGCAGUGAGGAAUAUUGGUCAAUGGACGCGAGCCUGAACCAGCCAAGUAGCGUGAAGGAAGACUGCCCUAUGAGUUGUAAACUGCUUUUAUACGGGGGUAAAGGCAGACACGCGUGCCUUUCUGAAAGUACCUUACGAAUAAGGAUCGGCUAACUCCGUGCCAGCAGCCGCGGUAAUACGGAGGAUCCGAGCGUUAUCCGGAUUUAUUGGGUUUAAAGGGUGCGUAGGUGGGUGGUUAAGUCAGAGGUGAAAGCCUGAGGCUCAACCGUAAAAUUGCAUUUGAUACUGGUAGGCUAGAGAACAGUUGCGGUAGGCGGAAUGUAUGGUGUAGCGGUGAAAUGCUUAGAGAUCACACAGAACACCGAUUGCGAAGGCAGUUCACUGAACUGCCACUGACAUUGAGGCUCGAAAGUGUGGGUAUCAAACAGGAUUAGAUACCCGAGUAGUC
rnacentral:rRNA from 1 species